rnacentral:rRNA from 1 species
UACGUAGGGUCCGAGCGUUGUCCGGAAUUAUUGGGCGUAAAGAGCUCGUAGGCGGUGUGUCACGUCGGCCGUGAAAACCUGCAGCUUAACUGUGGGCGUGCGGUCGAUACGGGCAUCACUGGAGUUCGGCAGGGGAGACUGGAAUUCCUGGUGUAGCGGUGAAAUGCGCAGAUAUCAGGAGGAACACCCGUGGCGAAAGCGGCUCUCUGGGACGGUACUGACGCUGAGACGCGAAAGCGUGGGGAGCAAACAGG